rnacentral:rRNA from 1 species
UACGGAGAGUGCAAGCAUUAAUCGGAAUUAUUGGGCGUAAAGGGCGCGUAGGCGGAAUAAUAAGUCAGAUGUGAAAUUCCGAAGCUCAACUUCGGAGCUGCAUUUGAAACUAUGAUUCUAGAGGGUUGACGGAGAAAACGGAAUUCCAAGUGUAGCGGUGAAAUGCGUAGAUAUUUGGAAGAACACCAGUGGCGAAAGCGGUUUUCUAGUUAAUACCUGACGCUGAGGCGCGAGAGCAAGGGGAGCAAACAGG